GAGGGGAGUAAUGUAAGCCCACAAACCCACCCGAGCGAGGAGCUUUUUAAGACUGAAAGAAAGAUAUUUACUGAAAUGGAGAAGAGAAGCAAUAACAUGUUUAUUCUCUGCGUGGUUCUCUAAAGGAAACAAACGCUCAUCAGCUCUAAAAAUGUCUUUACUGCACAAGCUUAGCAGGCCAGGGCCAGGAAGCUGAUGCUCACCGUGAGCAAAUAAGAUAUUUAACCUGUCUGCUCUGACAAGAAAAUUAAAGACGUCUGAGCAGGGCGUUAAACUUGGAGAAACAGAGAUGGAUCCUUUGCAUGACACCUUCUCCCACUGCAGCCACAGCACGAAAGAAUCAGGUCUAUUUCCAGUCUAUUCGAAGUCCAACUGCAGAUUUCAGAACCCUGCAGGGUGAUUCCUGUGUUCUCCCCAACGAGGCUCGGAAGUGUGCAGAGAUUUGGCCCACGUCGCACAAUAAAUUUGGAGUCACAGCUCCCACUGAGGACUUACGACUCAAAGCCCAGGAUUCUUCCCACUAGACCCGAAGUCCUCUAUGAAUGCUGUCUGACCUGAGUCUGAGAAGCCUGUUUUCCUGAGGCCCCGUGGGGGCAGAACGGCCACCAUCAGAGCCACAGCGUGGGCACAGGGAACAGCCACAUGCUCCGUGGACAGGUGUAGCGGGUACCCCCGCACCCCUUCACCUCUUACAGAAGUCCCGCAGGGGCAGCCCUGCCAUGCGUUGAAUCGAUUCACCCAUUCGAUCACCUCCGAACACCAAGAACCAAGACCAGGGCAGAGCUAGCGGUAAGGACACAUCUGCCAUCCAAGGGGCACUGCAGCUGAACCACCUUUCCACCCUCACCUCUCAUCUCUCCCACUUCACAGGCAGGAAAGUGAGGCAUUUUGUAUCUGAGUCACAAAGCGAGCAAAGGAGUCCAGUCUGGACGGCCAGCUUCUAGAGAACAGAGGAAGACUCACACCGUCUGUGUUAAUCACACACACCAGGCAAGGGCGUUUCUGCUUUCCCCUUCCAGCCAAAGCUGGGCUGUACAGCUAAUGCACGGGCUCUCAAGAGUAAGAUUUCCUCUUCCAUCUCAGUUCCAACACCCAGAACUUGGCCAGCUCACAUCUUUCAGGCAGGCAGAAAGGCUGGUCCUGCAUGGUUAAUGUCCAGAUCACUUUUCUUCCCC
rnacentral:lncRNA from 1 species